rnacentral:rRNA from 1 species
UACAGAGGGUGCAAGCGUUGUUCGGAAUUAUUGGGCGUAAAGCGCGUGUAGGCGGCUUUGCAAGUCGGGUGUGAAAGCCCUCAGCUCAACUGAGGAAGUGCGCCCGAAACUGCAGAGCUUGAGUACCGGAGAGGAUGGUGGAAUUCCCCAAGUAGAGGUGAAAUUCGUAGAUAUGGGGAGGAACACCGGUGGCGAAGGCGACCAUCUGGACGGAUACUGACGCUGAGGCGCGAAAGCUAGGGGAGCAAACGGG